AUUGAACGCUGGCGGCAGGCCUAACACAUGCAAGUCGAACGGUAACAGGAAGACUCUUGCUUCUUUGCUGACGAGUGGCGGACGGGUGAGUAAUGUCUGGGAAACUGCCUGAUGGAGGGGGAUAACUACUGGAAACGGUAGCUAAUACCGCAUAACGUCGCAAGACCAAAGAGGGGGACCUUCGGGCCUCUUGCCAUCGGAUGUGCCCAGAUGGGAUUAGCUAGUAGGUGGGGUAACGGCUCACCUAGGCGACGAUCCCUAGCUGGUCUGAGAGGAUGACCAGCCACACUGGAACUGAGACACGGUCCAGACUCCUACGGGAGGCAGCAGUGGGGAAUAUUGCACAAUGGGCGCAAGCCUGAUGCAGCCAUGCCGCGUGUAUGAAGAAGGCCUUCGGGUUGUAAAGUACUUUCAGCGGGGAGGAAGGGAGUAAAGUUAAUACCUUUGCUCAUUGACGUUACCCGCAGAAGAAGCACCGGCCAACUCCGUG
rnacentral:rRNA from 1 species